rnacentral:rRNA from 1 species
GACGAACGCUGGCGGCGUGCCUAAUACAUGCAAGUCGAGCGGGCCUCCGGAGGUGCUUGCACCUCCGGAAGGCCAGCGGCGGACGGGUGAGUAACACGUGGGCAACCUGCCUUUGAGGCCGGGAUAACACCGGGAAACCGGUGCUAAUACCGGAUACGUCCUCUUUCGCGCCUGCGAGAGGGGAGAAAGACGGUCUUUAAGGCCGUCGCUCAAAGAGGGGCCCGCGGCGCAUUAGCUGGUUGGUGGGGCAAGGGCCUACCAAGGCGACCAUGCGUUGCCGACCUGAGAGGGUGAUCGGCCACACUGGGACUGAGACACGGCCCAGACUCCUGCGGGAGGCAGCAGUAGGGAAUCAUCCGCAAUGGGCGAAAGCCUGACGGUGCAACGCCGCGUGAGUGAGGAAGGUUUUCGGAUCGUAAAGCUCUGUUGUGAGGGAAGAACGGCUUCCGGAGGAAAUGCCGGAGGUUUGCCGGUACCUCACCAGAAAGCCCCGGCUAACUACGUGCCAGCCGCCGCCGUAA